CCUACGGGAGGCAGCAGUGAGGAAUAUUGGUCAAUGGGCGUAAGCCUGAACCAGCCAAGUCGCGUGAGGGAUGAAGGUUCUAUGGAUCGUAAACCUCUUUUAUAAGGGAAUAAAGUGUGGGACGUGUCCUGUUUUGUAUGUACCUUAUGAAUAAGGAUCGGCUAACUCCGUGCCAGCAGCCGCGGUAAUACGGAGGAUCCGAGCGUUAUCCGGAUUUAUUGGGGUUAAAGGGUGCGUAGGCGGCCUUUUAAGUCCGCGGUGAAAGUCUGUGGCUCAACCAUGGAAUUGCCGUUGAAACUGGGAGGCUUGAGUAUGUGUGAGGCAGGCGGAAUGCGUGGUGUAGCGGUGAAAUGCUUAGAUAUCACGCAGAACCCCGAUUGCGAAGGCAGCCUGCCAAGCCAUGACUGACGCUGAUGCACGAAAGCGUGGGGAUCAAACAGGAUUAGAUACCCCAGUAGUC
rnacentral:rRNA from 1 species